rnacentral:rRNA from 1 species
AGAGUUUGAUCCUGGCUCAGGAUGAACGCUAGCUACAGGCUUAACACAUGCAAGUCGAGGGGAAACGACAUCGAAAGCUUGCUUUUGAUGGGCGUCGACCGGCGCACGGGUGAGUAACGCGUAUCCAACCUGCCCACCACGUUGGGGAUAACCUUGCGAAAGUAAGACUAAUACCCAAUGACGUCUCUAGAAGACAUCUGAAAGAGAUUAAAGAUUUAUCGGUGAUGGAUGGGGAUGCGUCUGAUUAGCUUGGUUGGCGGGGUAACGGCCCGACCAAGGCGACGAUCAGGUAGGGGUUCUGAGAGGAAGGUCCCCACGAUUGGAACUGAGACACGGUCCAAACUCCUACGGGAGGCA